CUUGUGUGAAGCCUUCUUCAGGCCCCUCACCAGGGACAUUUUAGCCAUACCAAGAAUCAUUAGAAGAUGCAAGCUGGAAAAAAGAAGGUCCCAGUUUUGGUUUUGAACCCUUCAUGUUGCAGCAAAUGUGAAUCUCCUACAGAUGGGUUUGGGGACUUACCUGUUCAAAUAGCAGCCCGGUGUCCUCUGUGGGUGGGGGGAGGUUUGUCUGUCCUUUCAUUCUAGUAAAUCCACCAUCCUCUGCACGAGAGCCAGGAGAAUCCACAUCACUUCAAAAGAGCCCCCAAAUCCUUACGUACUACAGCCUCCUUUCGAAUGUUCCUGGUUGAGAGGGAGAUCAAUUGCAUUAUUUACAAGUCAAAAAAUUUUGUAUCAAACUUCCUAUGAGCUUGGGCACUGAUGGCCUAUGGAGGCCCACCCAGACGCAGCCCUGCCAUCAUGCUUUUUCAUUGUUUUGUGGAUGUACCCAGGGCUAUUUACACACUCUUUCAUUAAAAGGCU
rnacentral:lncRNA from 1 species